GACGAACGCUGGCGGCGUGCUUAACACAUGCAAGUCGAACGGUGAAGCGCCUUCCUUUUUGGUGGGUGUGGAUGAGUGGCGAACGGGUGAGUAACACGUGAGUAACCUGCCCCCUUCUUCUGGAUAACCGCAUGAAAGUGUGGCUAAUACGGGAUAUUCUGGGUCUGUCGCAUGAUGGGUCUGGGAAAGAUAUUGUUUCGGUGGGGGAUGGGCUCGCGGCCUAUCAGCUUGUUGGUGGGGUGAUGGCCUACCAAGGCGGUGACGGGUAGCCGGCCUGAGAGGGUGGACGGUCACACUGGGGAGGAGACACGGCCCAGACUCCUACGGGAGGCAGCAGGGGGGAAUAGUGCACAAUGGGCGCAAGCCUGAUGCAGCGACGCCGCGUGAGGGAUGGAGGCCUUCGGGUUGUGAACCUCUUUCGCCAGUGAAGCAGGCCUGCCUCGUUUGUGGGUGGGUUGACGGUAGCUGGAUAAGAAGCGCCGGCUAACUACGUG
rnacentral:rRNA from 1 species